GGUUGUGACCAAUAAGGAAAGAUUUAUCGCUUAGGAUGGGUCCGCGGGCCAUCAGCUAGUUGGUGAGGUAAAGGCUCACCAAGGCAACGACGGCUAGCCGGCCUGAGAGGGUGAACGGCCACAGGGGUACUGAGACACGGACCCCACUCCUACGGGAGGCAGCAGUUAGGAAUCUUCCACAAUGGGCGCAAGCCUGAUGGAGCGACACUGCGUGAGGGAAGAAGGCUUUCGGGUUGUAAACCUCUAAAAGUAGGACGAUAAUGACGGUACUACUUGAGAAGCACCGGCUAACUCCGUGCCAGCAGCCGCGGUAAUACGGAGGGUGCAAACGUUAUCCGGAAUCACUGGGCGUAAAGGGCACGCAGGCGGUUAGUUAAGUCUGAUGUUAAAGCGUGGGGCUCAACCCCCAUACGGGCGUUGGAUACUGGCUAACUAGACUCUUGGAGAGGUAAGUAGAAUUACCAGUGUAGCGGUGGAAUGCGUAGAUACUGGUAGGAAUACCAAUAGCGAAGGCAGCUUACUAGACAAUGAGUGACGCUGAGGUGCGAAAGUGUGGGGAGCGAACAGGAUUAGAUACCCUGGUAGUCCACACCGUAAACGAUGAAUGCCAGACGUCGGGCAGCAUGCUGUUCGGUGUCACACCUAACGGAUUAAGCAUUCCGCCUGGGGAGUACGGCCGCAAGGUUAAAACUUAAAGGAAUUGACGGGGGCCCGCACAAGCGGUGGAGUAUGUGGUUUAAUUCGAUGCAACGCGAAGAACCUUACCAGGGCUUGACAUGUCCGGAAUCCCGGUGAAAGCUGGGAGUGCCUUCGGGAGCCGGAACACAGGUGGUGCAUGGCUGUCGUCAGCUCGUGUCGUGAGAUGUUGGGUUAAGUCCCGCAACGAGCGCAACCCUCGUCUUUAGUUGCCAGCAUUAAGUUGGGCACUCUAGAGAGACUGCCGGUGACAAACCGGAGGAAGGUGGGGAUGACGUCAAGUCAGCAUGCCCCUUACGCUCUGGGCGACACACGUACUACAAUGGUCGGGACAGAGGGCAGCGAACCUGCGAAGGCAAGCUAAUCCCAGCAAACUCGGCCUCAGUUCAGAUCGCAGGCUGCAACUCGCCUGCGUGAAGGAGGAAUCGCUAGUAAUCGCCGGUCAGAAUACGGCGGUGAAUCCGUUCCCGGGCCUUGUACACACCGCCCGUCACACCAUGGAAGCUGGCCACGCCCGAAGUCGUUACCCUAACCUUUCGGGGAAGGGGA
rnacentral:rRNA from 1 species